rnacentral:rRNA from 1 species
UAUUAUUUAAAAUGUAAUAAUAAAUAUUUAAGUAGUAAUAGUUAUGUUCUUGAAACUUAAAAAAUUUGGCGGUAUUUUAGUCUAUCCAGAGGAACUUGUUUUGUAAUCGAUAAUCCACGAUGGACCUUUCUUAAAUUUGUAAUCAGUUUAUAUACCGUCGUUAUCAGAAUAUUUUAUAAGAAUAAUAAUAUUCAAUAAUUUUAAUUAAAAUUUAUAUCAGAUCAAGGUGUAGCUUAUAUUUAAGUAAUAAUGGGUUACAAUAAAAAUAUUUAUACGGAUAAAAUUAUGAAAAAAUUUUUAAAGGUGGAUUUGGUAGUAAAAUUAUAAAGAUUGAUAAUUUGAUUUUAGCUCUAAAAUAUGUACACAUCGCCCGUCACUCUUAUUAUUAAGGUAAGAUAAGUCGUAACAUAGUAGAUGUACUGGAAAGUGUAUCUAGAAUGA